UACGUAGGGGGCAAGCGUUAUCCGGAUUUACUGGGUGUAAAGGGAGCGUAGACGGCAUUGCAAGUCCGGAGUGAAAGCCCACGGCCCAACCGUGGGACUGCUCUGGAAACUGUGGAGCUGGAGUGCGGGAGGGGCAGGCGGAAUUCCUAGUGUAGCGGUGAAAUGCGUAGAUAUUAGGAGGAACACCGGCGGCGAAGGCGGCCUGCUGGACCGUAACUGACGUUGAGGCUCGAAAGCUUGGGGAGCAAACAGG
rnacentral:rRNA from 1 species